AGGGGCAAAUAUAUAGAAAUCCUAAGGAGUAGACAAAUGAGGUGACAGAGGAGGCAAAAGUCCAACUAUAGGGUGAGGGGGGAAGACCUUCGGAGGGAACUUUGGAAGAGGAGGAAGCUUAGGAACUGGUGGAAAGGGUUUCUUGAAGGGGAAUGGUGGUUUUGGGAAAAAUGGGAAAGGUGGAAGUGGCUUCUGGUACACGGGAGGCUUGUAGAUUGGCACCGCCGGUGGGAGUGGCUUCUGGUACACCGGAGGCUUGUAGAUUGGCACCGGCGGUGGAAGUGGCUUCUGGUACACGGGAGGCUUGUAGAUUGGCACCGGCGGUGGGAGUGGCUUCUGGUACACGGGAGGCUUGUAGAUUGGCACCGGAGGCUUGUAGAUUGGCACCGGCGGUGGGAGUGGCUUCUGGUACACAGGAGGCUUGUAGAUUGGCACCGGCGGUGGGAGUGGCUUCUGGUACACAGGAGGCUUGUAGAUUGGCACUGGCGGUGGGAGUGGCUUCUGGUACACAGGAGGCUUGUAGAUUGGCACGGGCGGUGGACAUGGCUUUUUGACUACUGGAGGCUUGUAGAUUGGCACUGGCGGUGGAAGUGGCUUCUUGUACACCGGAGGCUUGUAGAUUGGCACGGGGGGUGGAAGAGGUUUUAUGAUUGGAGGAGGCUUGAUUAUGGGAACAGGCGGAGGAAGUGGUUUUUUGUAGAUUGGGAUUGGUGGUGGAAGUGGCUUCUUGUAAAUAGGGAUUGGUGGGAGUGGUUUCUUGUAGAUUGGGGGGAAAG
rnacentral:lncRNA from 1 species